UCUAAAAAACAGUUGUAGAGAGAAACAGUCUUCUUACGUUCCCAUGCUCAGCACAAAGUUUGGCACACAGGAACGUAAGAAAUGGAAGCUUCAGCCGGGCGCGGUGGCUCACGCCUGU